rnacentral:rRNA from 1 species
GUAAUAGUUAUGUUCUUGAAACUUAAAAAAUUUGGCGGUAUUUUAGUCUAUUUAGAGGAAUUUGUUCUGUAAUUGAUAAUCCACGAUGGACCUUACUUAAAUUUGUAAUCAGUUUAUAUACCGUCGUUAUCAGAAUAUUUUAAAAGAAUAAUAAUUUUCUUAAAAUUUAAAUAAAUUUUAUUUCAGAUCAAGGUGUAGCUUAUAUUUAAGUAGAAAUGAAUUACAUUAAAUUUAUUUAAACGAAUGAUAUUAUGAAAAAAUAUUUGAAGGUGGAUUUAAUAGUAAAUUUAUAAAGAU